UUAGAUGUAAUUAAUUCUAAAAAUCAUAAUCAAUUUACUGAACAACAAUCAAAUACAUCAAAUCAAUUAUAUAAUUUCAAAAUUAUUUAUAUCUCCUCCUUUUUUCACCAUAUACGUAUUACAUUAACUUUAUGUUGUGACAACAAAUACAUAAAUUAAAAAAAAAACAGAAGAAACAAAUCACCAUUUCCCAUAAACUGUGAUCAGAGAUUAAUCUAGAUUCAGAAACUGCCAAGAGAAGUAAUGUGCAUGACACCUGAUCUGAAACACAUUCACCGAUGAAUAAAAACAAAGAAAGAAACGUAAAAUAAAAUUAAAAAAUGAAUGAAAUACAGCUUCAAAUAAAAACAAAUAAAACUCGUAAAUUAAGAAAUCCGCGUUUAAAGGUAACCGUGUUUACUGGCAGAAUCUUCAGACUUCAAAUUAUUCACCAAAGUAGGUAGGAAACUAAGUACACAUCUCCAAAUGUGUACGGUAGUGUAUGUCUAAAAAUUAAAUAUUAAUAGUUUGGUAUUUGUUGCCCUAUGUUCAUCACAAAAUAAAAAUACAACUGUAAAAUUAGUUAUAUUUUUUUUAACUAAAUAUUUGAUUGAGAUUUGUUUUGCAUAGGAUAUGAAAUGAAUGUCGUUUAAAUUUAUGAAGAGAUUAAAAAUUUAAUAAAAAUGUGUACAUGAAUAAGGAUCAUAAUUGACACUUUCAUACAGAUUAAAAAAAUAUAAUAAAUAAGGAGAAAGAUUAAAAUUUUACCAAAUUAUCUUGAUCAACUAUUAGUGUAUUCAAAUUAGUAAUAGAGAAAGUGAAUUGAUUGAUCUUGUGUGUUCAUCAUGAUUAAUCAAGUUCAUGAUAUGAAUCAGAACCAAUACCAUUUACCCAGAUAUUAAAGAGAAUCUUGUGUGUGUGCACGUGUGUUCUUCUUUCACCUAUAUCUAAUUACUUAACUAAUACCUUGUGAAUAAGAGUGCCUCUGAGAUAUUUUGACAUUGUUCAUCAUCUUCAUCCUUGGUCUUUUUCCAUUGUUGAGGACCUUCAUCUCUAAAGAUUGAGUGUUGAGGGAGAAUAGUGAUACAUUAAGGUAUCUAAAAUUUUUGUGUGAAGUAUGUUGUGUGCAUAUCUCAUUUGUUGAAUCCAGUUUGGUCCUUAUUGAUAUCUAUCAAGAAGGCAAUUUCAAUAUACUUCAAAGAAGACUUUGACGAGAUCAAAUAUCAAUGAUCCGUAAGGUAGAGUUUGAAGUUUUCCUUCUUUGGUGGCGUUGGAGAAAGAUUGAUUAUUAUUCAUCAAAAUUGAUUCAGAUUAUCUCCAAAAUUGGAAUUUAACUUUAAGAUUUGAGUUUAACUCCAACAAUAUAUUUAUAAUAAAUGAUUGUUCUUAAUAGCUUAAGUAAUAUUAAAUCAUAAAAUCUUAUAGAAUAAAAUGGCUUUUGAGUUGAUGAAUUCUCU
rnacentral:lncRNA from 1 species